UACGUAGGGUGCAGGCGUUAAUCGGAAUUACUGGGCGUAAAGCGUGCGCAGGCGGUCUGCUAAGAGAGAUGUGAAAUCCCCGGGCUUAACCUGGGAACUGCGUUUCUAACUGGCAGGCUUGAGUGUGGCAGAGGGGGGUGGAAUUCCACGUGUAGCAGUGAAAUGCGUAGAGAUGUGGAGGAACACCGAUGGCGAAGGCAGCCCCCUGGGCUAACACUGACGCUCAUGCACGAAAGCGUGGGGAGCAAACGGG
rnacentral:rRNA from 1 species